AAACAUGCUUAAGUGAAACUCAGUGGAGGACAUGAGUACACUUACAGACCAAAGACGCCUAUCCCUCCUGUGCUUGGGCAUGAAAUUUCCAGAAUCAGAAGAAAAGAAUCUCUUACAGCAUUUAGCAGAGGAGAAGUUCCACUGGCAGAGGAGCAGCAGAGAAAGAAGAAAAGAAGUAGGCAGAUGUCAGAGGGAAGCAGCUUGACUUUAGAGGGAUGGCUUGAUGCUGGGACUUCAGAGAAGAACCUGGCAGGGGAUGGACAGACUCUAGGAGAAGACCACCUUCUCACUCCAUCGCCUUUCCAGCUCCCAUUCCCCCUGAAAGCCUGUGUCAUAGGCAAUAAAAUC
rnacentral:lncRNA from 1 species